AAUCAACGCUGGCGGCGUGCCUCAGACAUGCAAGUCGAACGCGAAAGUCCCCUUCGGGGGACAAGUAGAGUGGCGCACGGGUGAGUAACACGUAGGUAAUCUACCUUCGGAUGGGGAAUAACAAUCGGAAACGGCUGCUAAUACCGCAUAAUGCAGCGGCACCUAAUGGUGACAGUUGUUAAAGCGGGGGAUCGAAAGACCUCGCGUCUGAAGAGGAGCCUGCGGCGGAUAGCUAGUUGGUAAGGUAAUGGCUUACCAAGGCGACGAUCCGUAACCGGCCUGAGAGGGCGGUCGGUCACACUGACACUGACAUACGGGUCAGACUCCUACGGGAGGCAGCAGUCGGGAAUUUUGGGCAAUGGGCGAAAGCCUGACCCAGCAACGCCGCGUGAAGGAUGAAAUCCCUCGGGAUGUAAACUUCGCAAGAACGGGAAGAAUAAGUAGGGACGAAUACCCCUAUGAUGUACGGUACGUUUGUAAGCUCCGGCUAACUCCGUGCCA
rnacentral:rRNA from 1 species